CAGCAGCCGCGGUAAUACAGAGGGUGCGAGCGUUAAUCGGAUUUACUGGGCGUAAAGCGUGCGUAGGCGGCUUUUUAAGUCGGAUGUGAAAUCCCUGAGCUUAACUUAGGAAUUGCAUUCGAUACUGGGAAGCUAGAGUAUGGGAGAGGAUGGUAGAAUUCCAGGUGUAGCGGUGAAAUGCGUAAAGAUCUGGAGGAAUACCGAUGGCGAAGGCAGCCAUCUGGCCUAAUACUGACGCUGAGGUACGAAAGCAUGGGGAGCAAACAGGAUUAGAUACCCCAGUAGUCCCUGUCUCUUAUAC
rnacentral:rRNA from 1 species